UACGGAGGAUGCGAGCGUUAUCCGGAUUUAUUGGGUUUAAAGGGUGCGUAGGCGGGAUGCCAAGUCAGCGGUAAAAAUGCGGUGCUCAACGCCGUCGAGCCGUUGAAACUGGCGUUCUUGAGUGGGCGAGAAGUACGCGGAAUGCGUGGUGUAGCGGUGAAAUGCAUAGAUAUCACGCAGAACUCCGAUUGCGAGGGCAGCAUACCGGCGCCCUACUGACGCUAAGGCACGAAAGCGUGGGUAUCGAACAGG
rnacentral:rRNA from 1 species